UAGUCCACGCCGUAAACGAUGAUCACUCGUUGUUGGCAAUACAUCGUCAGCGACUGAACGAAAGUAUUAAGUGAUCCACCUGGGAAGUACGAUCGCAAGGUUGAAACUCAAAGGAAUUGACGGGGGCCCGCACAAGCGGAGGAGCAUGUGGUUUAAUUCGAUGAUACGCGAGGAACCUUACCUGGGCUUAAAUGCAGAGCGACCUCUCGGGAAACCGAGAUUCUCUUCGGAGCGAACUGCAAGGUGCUGCAUGGUUGUCGUCAGCUCGUGCCGUGAGGUGUCGGGUUAAGUCCCAUAACGAGCGCAACCCCUAUCAUUAGUUGCCAUCAGGUUAAGCUGGGGACUCUAAUGAAACUGCCUACGCAAGUAGUGAGGAAGGUGGGGAUGACGUCAAAUCAGCACGGCCCUUAUGUCCAGGGCUACACACGUGCUACAAUGGUCGGUACAGAGGGUUGCUACCUGGUGACAGGAUGCUAAUCUCGAAAACCGAUCUCUA
rnacentral:rRNA from 1 species